UGUUCUCGUAACGCGACGUGCGGAGGCAGUGUCGCUCCGUUCCGCGCUUCGACCGGCCGCCAUGAUACUCUGACCGCGCGUGCCUUCAAUUCCUAAGCCCUAAAGUUUGUGACAAUUGAAAGAAAACUUGUGCAAGAUGUUGUGCCUAAUAAGGAGGUGUGCUUUCGUCUACACGCUGUUGGCCACGGCGCUUGCGCAGAACACGGACAGCAGCGGCGACUUCACACCAGUAGUUAGCGCGACAUGCAAGACCGGUGUGAUGUCAAUCAGGAUCAACUUCAGCCAGCCUUUCAAUGGGGUCGCGCAUGCCAGAGAGUUCAGAACUCCAUCAUGCAUGGUGUUGGGGAACGGCACAGAGUCGGCCACUUUUGACAUAAGCCUCACAGCUGCCGCGGGCUCGCCAGAUUACUGCGGGAUAUUCUGGAACCACAGAACUGACGAGCGAUCACUGCCUCUGGCGGUCCGCGUACACCGCACGCUGGAGCUGGCGGACGACAAGUUCUAUGUCAUCACGUGUGGCAAGGCCGGCAUAAGUAACUCGAGAAACGAAACUCUGACAGUAUCACUAAGGAUGUUGAACUCAGAUGGGCGUAAGGUGCUAAAUGCAGCUUUCGGUAUGCCUUACACUCUCCGCGCAGAAUUGAGCAAACCUGAUGGCACUCACGGGAUACGUUUGAGAAAUUGCUUCGCCUUCAGCAUGCGCAACCAUACAGUAGAUCUUCUGGACAAACGAGGAUGUCCCGUGAAAGAACAAUCAGUAGCACUGAAAACAGAAAACGGUGCGGCGGAGUUGGCGAUUGCAUCAAUGUUCAAAUUCCCGAACUCGUCGCAAAUCAACUUCCAAUGCGAAAUUGGAAUCUGUAAAGGCAGCUGUGUAACAACAGACUGCAAGACGGAGGGACGCAUAGAGCCAGCGGACGAAGAGGGCGCAGUUACUGCUUCCACAGGCCUCUUCGUGCUCGACCCUAAUGAUAGUGCUGUUGCAGCGUUAGCCUGCACGGAAGGCGGCGUGCGACCGCUGUGGCUGCUGUACCUGGCCAUUGCCCUCGGAGUCAUGUUCUUGGUUAUGUUGCUCAUCAACUGCUUCCUUUGCACCGCCAUGACCUGCUCUUGUGCGAGGACUGACGUGAUAGAGAAGGACCCCUCUGUGGUGGAAGACUAUGACCCUUACCGCAGCUGGCACGGGAGUCAGUACGGCAGCCGGUACCCAUCCUCCACCAUACACUCUGCGAGUUCUGGUUAAACAACUAGGUCAGUGUCGGACAACAGCGACCACUACGCCAUAGUCCAGUCGAGGCCGGGGAGUCGACACUCCGGCAUGCAUCGAAAUAGGCACUGAUUACAGACGAAACGAUUUCACUAUUGGCGCUUCCUGUGAAACUUCUACGUCAUUGCAAUAAAAGUAAUAUAAGUAAUAAGUAUGUUAUGUAUAUAAUAAAGCUUAAAAGCAAGGCGUUCCAGUUAGGAUCUCUCGUAGGACUUCUCGUUGAGUGUACCUACCUAGCGAACCGGUCUACUCAGCAACUUUGGUUAAUCUGAGGCUAAGAUAAUAAUAUUGUCCAGCGUAGGUACGUUGUCACUGCUCUGACUUAUAAGUAAGAUAGAGUCAAAACUAGACAGAUCUGUGCAGAGAUCUCGAUAGAUAUAUAAAUCUGUCUCGUUUUAGCUCUAUAUAUCUCCAGUUUGACGAUACCCUAAAAAUUUACAAUAAAUAUUCAAGUAACAGAAGCAUAGAUUAAUUCGUAACUGAACUCGCAAGCCUUGCGCUUAGCUUGGGUUCCCUUGUUAUAUCUUAUCAUGUAGAGAUAUAUACCUAGGUACCUAUGCCUACCAUUAAUGAAAUUAUUUAUAGGUAUCUACGUAUGUAAAAUUGAUGAGACUUGGCGUGAGUAUUAGUUUUUAAGAGAAUUAAAACUACUUUUUAUAUAUCUAGCAAUAAAAUAAAAUAAUACCUCACAUGGUGGGUAGUCGAUAUGUCACAGUUUACCUACAUCGUAAAUAGUAAAUAUUAAUUCAACUUGUGCCAUUUAAUUUCCAUUUGAUAGUAUCUAAUAUUUUAUUUUAUUUUAAAAGGACUUUUCUUACGGCUUUACUUACAAACGUUGUUUAGCGAAUGAAUCCUUGACACCAAUUCCUUUCAAUAUCAAUUGAUUCUAUUUUGAUUCGAAAGAAAAAGACAACCGUUUUACUAAACAAUUUCUAAACAACGUUUAAAUGAGAGAAAGAGUUGAAGUUUUUAUGAAUAGAUACCUACUUCCUUACCGAAAAUAUUUUUAUUACUUUUCUUUAAAGUUUUUAUUAUUCACUUAAUAGGUACUUACCUGAUGAAUGCAACGAAUCCGUCCUUUCCUUAGAAUUGUAAGUUAGAUGAUAGUAAGUAUCUAAUAAAUUACUAUUAUAUUUCUAUAUAACUUACCUACUUACUUAUAUUAAUAUGAUGAUGAGCUAUAUGUACUUAGAUAUAAAUGAUAGGUACUGUGCUAUUUACUGGUAGGUAGGUAAUUUCCUUUCUCUAGGUUAGGUGGCAUAUAUUUUUACACCCUAAUCGAUCGAUGUUAAAAUCGAUAAUGAUUUAACAUCAAUCGGUUAACGUGCAAAAACACUGAUGUUGAUAUAAUU